GCGCCCGUAGCUCAGAUGAAUAGAGCGCUUCCCUGCUAAGGAAGAGGUCGCUGGGUUUGAAUCCCGCCGGGCGCA
rnacentral:tRNA from 1 species